rnacentral:rRNA from 1 species
GACGAACGCUGGCGGCGUGCCUAAUACAUGCAAGUCGAGCGAAGUUUUUCUGGUGCUUGCACUAGAAAAACUUAGCGGCGAACGGGUGAGUAACACGUAAAGAACCUGCCUCAUAGACUGGGACAACUAUUGGAAACGAUAGCUAAUACCGGAUAACAGCAUUAACUGCAUGGUUGAUGUUUAAAAGUUGGUUUUGCUAACACUAUGAGAUGGCUUUGCGGUGCAUUAGCUAGUUGGUGGGGUAAAGGCCUACCAAGGCGACGAUGCAUAGCCGACCUGAGAGGGUGAUCGGCCACACUGGGACUGAGACACGGCCCAGACUCCUACGGGAGGCAGCAGUAGGGAAUCUUCCGCAAUGGGCGAAAGCCUGACGGAGCAACGCCGCGUGAGCGAAGAAGGAUUUCGGUUCGUAAAGCUCUGUUGUUAGGGAAGAAUGAUUGUGUAGUAACUAUACACAGUAGAGACGGUACCUAACCAGAAAGCCACGGCUAACUACGUG